UACAGAGGGUGCAAGCGUUGUUCGGAAUUAUUGGGCGUAAAGCGCGUGUAGGCGGCUUUGCAAGUCGGGUGUGAAAGCCCUCGGCUCAACCGAGGAAGUGCGCCCGAAACUGCAGAGCUUGAGUACCGGAGAGGAUGGCGGAAUUCCCCAAGUAGAGGUGAAAUUCGUAGAUAUGGGGAGGAACACCGGUGGCGAAGGCGGCCAUCUGGACGGAUACUGACGCUGAGACGCGAAAGCGUGGGGAGCGAACAGG
rnacentral:rRNA from 1 species